CCUACGGGAGACAGCAGUGAGGAAUAUUGGUCAAUGGGCGCGAGCCUGAACCAGCCAAGUAGCGUGAAGGAUGACUGCCCUACGGGUUGUAAACUUCUUUUAUAAAGGAAUAAAGUGAGGCCCGUGUGCCUUUUUGUUUGUAUUUUUUGAAUAAGGAUCGGCUAACUCCGUGCCAGCAGCCGCGGUAAUACGGAGGAUCCGAGCGUUAUCCGGAUUUAUUGGGUUUAAAGGGAGCGUAGAUGGGUUGUUAAGUCAGUUGUGAAAGUUUGCGGCUCAACCGUAAAAUUGCAAUUGAUACUGGCAGCCUUGAGUACAGUUGAGGUAGGCGGAAUUCGUGGUGUAGCGGUGAAAUGCUUAGAUAUCACGAAGAACUCCGAUUGCGAAGGCAGCUUACUAAACUGCCACUGACAUUGAUGCUCGAAAGUGUGGGUAUCAAACAGGAUUAGAUACCCUAGUAGUC
rnacentral:rRNA from 1 species